AUUGAACGCUGGCGGCAGGCCUAACACAUGCAAGUCGAACGAGUGGCGUACGUGUGAGGAAUGCAUGGGAAUCUUCUCUGUGGUUGGGGAUAACGAAGGGAAACUUAUGCUAAUACCGCAUACGAUUGAAUGAGCCGAUGUCGGAUUAGCUAGUUGGAGGGGUAAAGGCCCACCAAGGCGACGAUCCGUAGCUGGUCUGAGAGGAUGAUCAGCCACACUGGAACGGAGACACGGUCCAGACUCCUACGGGAGGCAGCAGUGGGGAAUAUUCGGCAAUGGGCGCAAGCCUGAUCCAGCCAUGCCGCGUGGGUGAAGAAGGCCUUCGGGUUGUAAAGCUCUUUUGUUGGGGAAGCGGUACCCAAAGAAUAAGCACCGGCUAACUUCGUGCCAGCAGCCGCGGUAAUAC
rnacentral:rRNA from 1 species